CUCUCUCCUUCGAACCCUAAAACUCUUCCAACCCUUUGUAUUCACCCUAAAGAAAAAGGCCCUUCCAAGGAACAUCGCCGGAGAACAUCGCUGGCACUCCCUGUUCCGGCACACUAACCUUACCCCUUUUUAAUUCACAAACCCUAACCUAACACCCACCACACUCCCCCUCCCUUUCCCCUCACAACAGCGCCGCAGCCUCACUCCCCCUGUUCCCCUCUCCAGCGCACACAACACAAUACACACACGCACCACCUCACCCACGUGGAAGAGGAGAGCUCGAGGAAGGAGACGCUGCCUUGCUGCCAGCUCCGUCGAAGACCAUCCCGCCGCCGCUGUCGAGUCAAACCCGAGAGAGAGAGUGUGUGUGCGACGAUGAGAAAGGAGAAGCCGUCACCAAACGCGUCGCCGCCGCUAGAGGAGCUUCACUCAUCGCCGUCGCCGAGGAGGGGAAAGAGGAGCUGCUUCCGUCGCGCCAGUCACCGUCGUGCUUCCUGGUUGCCGAUGACGGAGCCAUGAGAACCGUUGCCGUCGCGGAGGAGGGGGACGCGUGAGAGGGAGCCGUCAGUGUGGUCGCCGUCGCAACUGUUGAGUAAAUCUUCGUGCUUUUUCAGAAAUCGAAGUUUUACAGAUUUGACAAGGAACGGAACUGGUGGAAGGAGAGAACCACAAGUACCGUCAAGUUCCCGAAGAACAAGGUUACUAACAAGCACAAAAUCAUUGCUGAGUGUGGUUCUUUAGCUGUAAGCACUCCAUAUCAUUGAAAAAGGUAAUUCAUGGAGCUUCAAAAGCUUGAGGAUUGCAUGAACCAGAAAUCCAUUGAUUCGAUGUACAAGGUUUUCCAUUGGAGUAGCUUGUAAUCCUUCUUGGCCUGCUGACCGUCUCGUGAUCCAAGUCCUAGAUGAUUCUACGAAACCCGUGGUUAAGCAAAUGGUGGAAAUGGAAUGUCAGAGAUGGGCGAGCAAAGGGAUAAACAUAACGUACCAAAUAAGAGAGAACAGAACGGGGUACAAAGUGGGUGCAUUAAACACAAUUUGAUCAUCUGGACACAAGCAUCCUGCACAGGCACACACUUGCUCUCACACUCAUGCACUCAUGGGAAGAAUUUCUAUCAGUUUGUGCUCAAUAACACUGCUAUUUUCAAUUAUAAUUGUAGUUAUACUCAACAUGCUUUAUUGUUGUUGUUUACUUCUUGUUAGCGAGAUAAAUUUUACCAUGAAAGCACUAUCAGAAACUUACUAAUCAGUUUUGCUCCUUUGUCCAUGAUAUGCAUUUCAUGACAAUUUUCAUUUAUAAGGUUAUAUAACCUAUGGCCAUAUCAUAGUUGCUUGUUAUUUUCCUAUGCAAUUUGACCAUAACCUAAUUAGUCCUGGUAGCAAAUUGAGUUCAAAGUUGGACUUCAUGCUGAGUUCUGUGUUAAAGUGGAAUCUGAUUAGCAUCACUUCAAAGGAAAAGAACAGAAUACAAGGCACUCUUUUUUUAUGGAUUUAAGCAUCCAUCACUCUAACAUAUGUUGUCAGUUUGUCACAUUAAAAUAUUGGUCUUCUAUUUUAUGCUGUUUGUUAUUCCCUUUAAGGUAUUUACAGACAUAUUUUAGUUUGUAAAUCCACUUCACAUUGCAUAUGCAUCAUUUUGGCCGUUUCAAUAAUUAGCUUGACUUAUUUACAAGCAACUUUUAGUAUUAUUAUUAUUGAAUGGUAACCUUUCCAUGGCUUGAAGUGUCGCUUACAACUGUUCUACUGUAUCUACGGAGUAAUUAUUUAUUUUAUCCACCAUCACCUAACCCCACUCCCUAACUAUAAUUAAAUCGCACUACUACUACUACAUCUAUAACUUAAUUAUUAUCAAAUUCAAUGCUGUGUAACGUAUUGAUGCCUUUCUUGUUUGGAUUGCAACUUUGGGAGUGAUUCUAUUUUUGUCUCUAAGGACAUUUAGAAGUUCAAGCAAUUCUACAUUUGGGAAUUUUAUGAUCUGAUGGAGAUGAAAAGAUCUUUUGUUUUGCAAUUUUUUAUAUUUGUUUGUCAUAGGUUACUUUGUUGAGCUGCAUUGGCUUUUGAUAUGAUGCUACUGAUUGAAGUUUUACUUUACCUUACACCACGUAUAAGUAUAACAAAGAGAAGAUUGAAAUAUUACUUGGGAGUUGGGAAGACUGCAAACUUUGAUGAGCUGAUGGCUACUGCGGCUACCGAAGGUGGCGAAAAUGGAGACGUCGAAGAAAACAAUGCAUGAGGGUUAUGGAAAUUACUCGUGAAUCGGGUGACGACAUUUUGUACUAUUUAAAGAGUUUCAUUUUUGUUGUUAGUUGGUAGAGGACAAGCAUAGAAUUCAUUAUAUAUAAUGUGACUUGCAAUUUUAAACUCUUAAAUUCCUUCGGUUCUUUUAUCCAUAUAAAGAGUGCCCUAGUGUUUUCUUUCUCGGUGGGACUAAUAUAUGGAGAUGAUGCAUUGGCCAUUUGAUUAUUUAUAUGCUAUUAUGCUCAGGUUGAGAAGCUUGUUGAGAAAUCAGAGUUUUAAACUCGAAAUUUAUUUUGUAUUUGAAUAUUAAUGUAUAGAACAAUUAGAGCAA